rnacentral:lncRNA from 1 species
UUUGAGUCCACCAUCCUAAAGUUAUUGAAGUCAGAGGCCUUGAACCUCUUCACCCUCGCAUCAUCAAGACCAUAUUUGCUUUCUAGGAUAUCCCAGAGUUCUUUGGCACUCUUGGUUGGUAAUAAAUGUCAUACAGCCUCUCAGAAAGGGCACUUAGGAUUUCAUGGAUGUAAUGAUAGUCUAUUUCAUCAGGUGUUCUAGAGGGUGUGCUGGUGGAGGCA